AGGAGCCUGAAAUCAGCAUUGUUCUGUCAUGCAAACUGGAGCCAAAACCCCCAGAUAUCUGAGCAACAGGGACUGACAAUUCCUAAUUAGCUAUGGAAUGCGACAUUUGUACCAGUAGGAAGGAUUUGACAAGAAUUUUCUUUCACCUUGAAAAACUGCAUGUUCUGAGGAGUUUCUUUGCAAUGCUCCUGUACACUUAGCACACCCUGCUGAGGGAAGGCAGCUUGUUUUCUGCACUGCACUUCUUUCUGAAAGAUAGUUUCUAAACCACGGAUUUCAUUUCUUUCUCAGUAGUGAAAGAUCAUAAACAAGUAUGUCUUUCAAAUUGUUUUUCUACUGGAAGCCUUUAUGAUUCCAUCGAAGAGGAAACUGAACUAUCAUCUCAAUAAGCAAUGGACCAUAAGGCAGUAAACUGAUACAUUGUUAA